CACAACCCAAACCCUCAUUCUAAGAGAUGGGGUCUCACACACAAAACCUCUCUUUUCUUAUCCUCCUUCUCCUAGGCUUCCUUGCUGUCUCAUUCGCUUGCGAAUGUAGCCCUCCUAAACCAUCUCCGAGACCCCACAAACCGCCUAAACAUCCCGUCAAACCGCCUAAACCACCAGCAGCCAAACCACCAAAACCACCGGCAGUAAAACCUCCUAAACCCCCCACCAAACCUCCCACCCUUAAACCACACCCCCACCCUAAACCUCCCACCGUUAGACCACAUCCACACCCUAAGCCCCCUACCAAACCUCAUCCCAUCCCAAAACCGCCCACCGUUAAACCACCACCCUCCACACCCAAACCGCCCACAAAACCACCCACCGUUAAACCACCUCCAUCCACCCCUAAGCCGCCCACCAAACCACCCACCGUCAAACCACCACCCUCCACCCCAAAACCGCCCACCAAGCCACCCACCGUCAAACCACCUCCGUCCACCCCUAAACCACCUACCCACAAGCCACCAACAGUGUGCCCACCGCCAACACCAACACCAACCCCACCUGUUGUAACGCCACCAACACCACCAACACCAACUCCACCAGUCGUUACGCCACCAACACCAGCCCCACCUGUUGUAACGCCACCAACACCAACACCACCGGUCGUAACGCCACCGACACCAACCCCUCCUGUCGUAACACCUCCAACACCACCGGUCGUAACGCCACCGACACCAACUCCUCCUGUCGUAACACCACCAACACCACCGGUCGUAACGCCACCGACACCAACCCCUCCUGUCGUAACACCUCCAACACCACCGGUCGUAACGCCACCGACACCAACCCCUCCUGUCGUAACACCACCAACACCAACUCCACCUAAGCCAGAAACGUGCCCAAUCGACACGUUGAAGCUAGGCGCUUGUGUAGACGUUCUUGGAGGUUUAAUUCACAUCGGGCUUGGUGGAAGUAGCGCCAAGAAAGAGUGUUGUCCGGUUUUGGGAGGCUUAGUUGACUUAGACGCAGCUGUUUGUCUAUGUACCACCAUCAAAGCCAAA
rnacentral:lncRNA from 1 species